CCUUGUACACACCGCCCGUCACACCAUGGGAGUCGACUGCUCCAGAAGUGGCCACGCCAACCCGCAAGGGAGGCGGGUCCCCAAGGAGUGGUCGGUAACUGGGGUG
rnacentral:rRNA from 1 species